rnacentral:rRNA from 1 species
UAAUACGGAGGGUGCAAGCGUUAUCCGGAUUUAUUGGGUUUAAAGGGUCCGUAGGCUGAUUUGUAAGUCAGUGGUGAAAUCUCACAGCUCAACUGUGAAACUGCCAUUGAUACUGCAAGUCUUGAGUGUUGUUGAAGUAGCUGGAAUAAGUAGUGUAGCGGUGAAAUGCAUAGAUAUUACUUAGAACACCAAUUGCGAAGGCAGGUUACUAAGCAACAACUGACGCUGAUGGACGAAAGCGUGGGGAGCGAACAGGAUUAGAUACCCUGGUAGUCCACGCCGUAAACGAUGCUAACUCGUUUUUGGGCUUUCGGGUUCAGAGACUAAGCGAAAGUGAUAAGUUAGCCACCUGGGGAGUACGUUCGCAAGAAUG